rnacentral:rRNA from 1 species
CCUCGGGAGGCAGCAGUGGGGAAUAUUGCACAAUGGGCGCAAGCCUGAUGCGGCCAUGCCGCGUGUGUGAAGAAGGCCUUCGGGUUGUAAAGCACUUUCAGCGGGGAGGAAGGCGGUGAGGUUAAUAACCUCAUCGAUUGACGUUACCCGCAGAAGAAGCACCGGCUAACUCCGUGCCAGCAGCCGCGGUAAUACGGAGGGUGCAAGCGUUAAUCGGAAUUACUGGGCGUAAAGCGCACGCAGGCGGUCUGUCAAGUCGGAUGUGAAAUCCCCGGGCUCAACCUGGGAACUGCAUUCGAAACUGGCAGGCUAGAGUCUUGUAGAGGGGGGUAGAAUUCCAGGUGUAGCGGUGAAAUGCGUAGAGAUCUGGAGGAAUACCGGUGGCGAAGGCGGCCCCCUGGACAAAGGCUGACGCUCAGGUGCGAAAGCGUGGGGAGCAAACAGGAUUAGAUACCCGAGUAGUC